GAUGAAGAACGUAGCGAAAUGCGAUAAGUAGUGUGAAUUGCAGAAUUCAGUGAAUCAUCGAAUCUUUGAACGCACAUUGCGCCCUUUGGUAUUCCAAAGGGCAUGCCUGUUCGAGCGUCAUUUGUACCCUCAAGCUUUGCUUGGUGUUGGGCGUCUUGUCUCUAGCUUUGCUGGAGACUCGCCUUAAAGUAAUUGGCAGCCGGCCUACUGGUUUCGGAGCGCAGCACAAGUCGCACUNUCUNNNNGCAAAGGUCUAGCAUCCAUUAAGCCUUUUUUUCAACUUUUGACCUCGGAUCAGGUAGGGAUACCCGCUGAACUUAAGCAUAUCAAUAAGCGGAGGA
rnacentral:misc_RNA from 1 species